UCCACGCCGUAAACGAUGUCAACUAACUGUUGGGACCUUAAAGGUCUUAGUGGUGGAGCUAACGUAUUAAGUUGACCGCCUGGGGAGUACGGCCGCAAGGCUAAAACUCAAAUGAAUUGACGGGGGCCCGCACAAGCGGUGGAGCAUGUGGUUUAAUUCGAUGCAACGCGAAGAACCUUACCUACCCUUGACAUCCAGAGAAUCUGUUAGAGAUAGUAGAGUGCCUUCGGGAACUCUGAGACAGGUGCUGCAUGGCUGUCGUCAGCUCGUGUCGUGAGAUGUUGGGUUAAGUCCCGUAACGAGCGCAACCCUUAUCCUUAGUUGCCAGCACAUCAUGGUGGGAACUCUAGGG
rnacentral:rRNA from 1 species